CCUCUCGCUUCUCCCACUCCCCUCAAUGGGCCAUUUGUGGGAUUAACAAGGACUGGGAGACACAUUGCCCAUCUCCUCCGAGGCCCUGACAGCUGCAGAAUUCUUCAGGAACUCCUCGGGGCCCCCCGCACAUCCUUGCAAAGAGGCUAAAGGGAGGGAAGCUGGAUUCUGAAAGGGGUCUCCAGGGGCCUGCUAGAUGAGAGGGGGGGAAAAACACUCCCCAGUUUGCUCCUUCAUUCCAGGCCUUUCCUCCACCUCCUGAAGGAGCCACUCUUCAUCCUAAAAGCGUUUGGUUUCCUGUCUUCUCCCAGCUCAGUCACUCUGCUUGCCACCUCCGCAGCUGAGACAAGAGAGAGGAGGGAUCCAUCUCCCUCCAACGCCGAGGUCACGGCUGUUGAGCCAUAGCCAAGUAUUUGUCUUCAUUUUCUACCUCUUCUGCAGCGAUAAAAUGGAACCAGAAAGGGCCCACGUGCCCACUGACACAGAAGAACAACGGGCAGGGUUGUACCACUUCUGCUGUGCUCUGCAGGGGUAAUUCCUGUGAAUUCCUGUCGCCCACAGGAACCAGACCAACAGUGUCCAUCGCAGACACAGAUCUUGUGGCAGAUGGAAUCUGUAAGAGACAGUACAGUCUACAUCUAUCUGUAAAGCUGAGGAACUCGAAGGUGGCUCAGUUAAUAGUAUGCUUGCCAUAAAAGCAUGUGGACCUGCACUUCAGCCCCAGUAGCUGCAGAAAGUCUAAGAGCAGCAGCACGUGCCUCCAAUCCCAGCACUGGGGAGGUGGAGACAAGACGAUCUCAGCAGCUCACUGGGCAGCCAACCGAGCUAAAAUCAGUUCCAGGUUCAGAGAGAGACUUUGCCUCAAGAAGUGAGGAAGAAGGGUGGAAAUGACUGAGGAAGACCCCAGACAUCAACUCUGGCCACACACACAGUUCUGCACCUGUACGACCACCCAAGGCACACAGCUAAGAGACAGGCACGAGCAGCCCUUUUGAGUAACCAGCUAAUCAAAGGGCUAUACUAGCAGCCUGAAUCUUCACCUAGAAAUCACAGCAGCGACCACAGGGAUAGAAGAAGAAGCCAUUCAGCUUUUAUAAAUGCUGCUGUUUCCCAAUCAAACUAAACCAGAACCGAGGCUGAAGAUGGAUUUCAGCGUUUUCACGUCACCAGUUUCUCAAUAGACCAUUUCCUGUCCUCCUGCAGAGCUGAGUUCUCAAGAGUGAGCUCUGCUCCCCCACACAGUUUCAAGGCAUUGCUGACAGUCACCAAGACAAAACUUUGUAUAGCAUAUCUAUAAAUGUGCAUCACAAGCCCUCAUCUUCUGUGUAUAUGUGUGACCAUAGCUUCAAAUAAACAGUUCAAAAAUAAAGUGAAAAUAAUAGAAGAAAGGGGGAGGGAUAAGAGAGAGAUUUAGUUUUACCAUGGUUAUGGGUGGAGAGGCAGAAUUUUAAAAAGCACAAUGAAAAUAAGGAGAAAAACAAACAAAAACACGUGCACAAACAUAAGCUGUAGAAUCUGCCUUAGACAAAAAAACAUCUUUCCAUUUUUCAGAGAGGGAGGUUGGCCCCCAGGGAGAUUUAUUUAUUUUAUAUACAUGGCUGUGUGUGUCCCUGCAUGAGAUUAUGUGCGUCAUGUGUAAUCAGAUGCCCUGAAACUGGAGUGACAGGCUGUUGUGAGACAUCUGAUAGGGGUGCUGGGAACCAAACCCGGGUACUCUGCAAGAACAUUAAAUGCUUGUGACCCAUUGCUCUAGCCCCUAACAGAAGUGUCAUCUAAGAAUCUGAAGAUGAGAUCUUUUUAGUGUUCCCUGUGUGUGUGUGUGUGUGUGUGUGUGUGUGUGUGUGUGUGAGAGAGAGAGAGAGAGAGAGAGAGAGAGAGAGAGAGAGAGAGAGAGAGAACUGACUGACUCUAAAUACUAUACUCUAAGCAUCCCACUGCAUGGAUACUGGAAUUAAGGUUUAAAGAAAUGAAGCCAUACAGUUAUGAGUGAAACUAACUCCAUGUGUAUUUCUCCUCUAGAGAGAGAGAUGGCUUUGGCCCUUUUCGGUCUUGUUCAUCCCUUUGCUCCUUGACAUAAGCAAUUGUUUUUUGUUUUUUGUUUUUUGUUUUUUCUUAUACGAGUGACUGCAUCAGUACAGGCUCUUAUCUCUUUAAGAAAACAGCACUCCUCUUGGAAAUAAGUAACUCAGCAGUAGAGCUCAGUGCAGCAUGCACUCAACCACCCUUGUCACAUCCAAGCAGUUUCAAAUGUCUCUCUGUGUCACCAACCUUGAAGGGUAAAUUAACUAUCAUCCCCAGCGGCUCCCAUGUUCCACUGUGGAAAUAGAUUUAGAUAAACACUAAAUUAGGGUACUGAAAGAUUUCAAUAAAAAAAUAAAAUUCUAUUCAGGCUUACAAGGGUUACUUCAAUCUCCUGUUUUUAAAGACAAAUUUUCAGGGCCAUUUGUUUCAUUUAUUUAAUAGGUGGACAAAUAACGCCAGCAUGCGCCUAGAACUUUCUAGAUGCCGAAACUAUUACAGAGAGGGUUCUUGCCUUCUUAAAUCUGGUACUGAGGAAAAUGGCAGACUUCGGACAUAUAAAGACAAAUGUCAGAUGUUGACAGGUACCACGGAGAUGGCACACAUGGGGAGAUGAGGAAGUGGGCUCCAGGCUGGAGAAGAGAAGGGUGGUCACUGUACAGUGUGCAGAAGAUGGCCUUACUAAUUAACAGGUGGCAAGAAAGGAGGGGCCAGCUCUGCGCAGAUCAGGAGUUAGCUGUUUCCAACGUUUGAGCAAGCACAAAAGCCAAAAGCAGAGGUGGCAUAGUCUUGGGACAACACAAGGAACAGCUCAUCUAGUUUCUUGCUAUUGGACCUGUUGUAACCCUUGAAUUACUGAAACUAGAGAGACUUCAGUGCUGUGUACAGACAGUUUGCCUCUGCGUCCCCCACCCCCACCCCCACCUGAAGUUCUCAUCUUCCCUCCAGCCCAUGGCAAGCACCAUAUGCAGAGAGUUGGUUUCUGUGCUGCGUCCUCCUGCAGCAAACCCAGGGCUCCCUCCUUCUUCCCUGGCUGCUCCCCUAGUGUUACAAUGGCACUACCCAUAAAACUCCCCCUUAAUAAAGACAUUCUAAGAAACAGCUCGAAACAUCCUCCCCAACUUGGUGUCUCCAAAAACCAACCCUCCUCCUGAUAAGCAGCAGAACUCUCCAGAUGCCUGUCCUUGGGACCUUAGAGAAAUAACAAGUUCAAGGGAGACUAGGGCCUAGCAUUUAAAUCAUGGAGAAAAGGUGAUCAGAGGUCAGAACAAUUACUACUAGCCAUGAAAUUAGUCCCUGAACAGACACACCCAUUAACCCCCACUCCUGCUUCAGUGCCAUUCCACCAAAUGAUUACAGCCCUCUGCUCCCCUUUUCUGUGAACAUUCACGGGAUUCCUAACUAUACUGUAUAUAAAUCCAGUGCUUUCUGGACUCAGGGUCACUUGCCAGCAUUCACACAGUGAGUGUGAGGCAGGUGAUCCGAAUUUGAACUUGAAACAAUAAAAAUACUCUUUUGCGAGUUGCAGCGGACUUCACAAUUCUUGGGCUCAUCUGGGUUUCCCGUGGACUUGGGGCACAACAGAAGGUAUAGAGUAAAAGAGAACCCACUUAAACCAGUGGUUCUCAACCUUUCUAAUGCUGUGACCCUUUAAUACAGUGCCUCAUGUUGUGGUGAUCCCCGGACCAUAAAAUUAUCUAGUUGCUUAGUUGCUUCUUCAUAACUGUAGCUUUGCUACUGUUACGAAUCGUACUGGAAAUAUUUGUGGAGAUGAAAGGUUGCCGUAGGGGUUGCGACCUACAGGUUGAGAACCGCUGGCUUAGACUGGUGCAUUUAGACGCAGUUGCACUGUACUGUUGACCUGUUGUAGUCAUAUAAUGAUGGUGAUGAUGGUGGCUUGAAGGGGAGUGAGGUGGACUGUUGAGAGUAUCAGCAGAAUUGGUGAGAAGCUAUUAGAUUUCCUGCAGGUAGGACCAACUGGAUUUUCCUGUGGGUUGGCUAUAGAGUAUGGGGAAAAGAAUCAAAGAUGAAGUCAAAGCUUUCCAUGAGCGCAUCUUGGGUUGAAUUGCCAUUUGCAAGAAUGAUAAAGGCCGGGGGAGGGGGAUUUGGAUUUCAGGAGAUUAUGAUCAUGAGUUUAGUCCUAAAUGUACCUCUUAGAUAUCCAACUAAUAAAAUUGGUUGACAUAAUUAGCAGACUGUCCUAUUAGAGGUGUAUCUCAAGGUUGCAGUUGAAUACACAAAGAAGAUUUAUUUCCAGCCUGGAGACAUGAAUUUUGGUAUCAUUAACAUGCAGAUAAUAGUGAAAGGGAUGAGAGUGGAUGACAUCGCCUACUGAGAGUAGACAGAAAGGAAAAUGCAGGGUCCUAGGACACUUCGAUGCUUAGGGGUCAUUAAGAUAAGGAGGAACAGGCAAAAAGGUAGAUGAAGAUCCCAGAGCGGAAGAUAAAGUUUGGCGGCCUGUAUUCCCAGUAGGCCAUGACCCACACUGAUUCCAAAGACAGGUUAAACUCUAAUGGAACGAAGAAGACACAGGAGGCUAAAUUUGCUUUUCCCCCUUAUGGUUCAGCCUGCCUAGAGUAAUUUAGAGUAUAUUUUCUUGUUCAAUUUUCAUUGUAUAUAUUCAUCAUAUAUGGUACUAUGCUAUGUGAGAACAUUUUCAUACAAGUAUAUAUUAUACAAUGAACAUAUUCCUGUAAUGUCCCCUCCUCUCUGCAUCUUCUCCCUCUGUCUCACAUUACUUCCCUUUGUUCCCCCAGAUACUUUCACUUCUGCUUUUGUGUCAUAUGUACAUACAUGAUGUUCUGUAACUAUAUAAAAUCUAGGGCUCACAAGUGAGAAGAAACGUGGUGUUUGUCUCAAUUCACUUAAUCUGAUUGCCUCAGGUUCAUUCAUUUCCUGCACACCAUACAACAUCAUUCAUUUUUAUGGCUAACCAAUCUCUAGUGUGUAUAUAGAACAUGUUUUCAUUCCUUUUUUUCCUUUUAGAAUGCAGUUAGGAAUGAUGCUAGUUUAGUAAAGUAGAACUUGUAGGUUCGUCUCCAAGAUCCAUGACUUCAGCCACCUUGACGAGUGGGCUAGAUUUCCAAUGCCCGACAUGAUUUCUCUCCUGUUGAGAAGUAGAUCACAUUUUCUUUUUCUGUUCCUUGGUUAGCUUAGCUGCUAGGAUAAUGCUUCAGCAAACAUUGAUGUGUAAACAUCUUUGCUAUGUUGACUUGAUGUCUUUUGAGUAAAGACCCAGGAGUAUUAUUGCUGGGUCAUACGGUAGAUCGAGUUUUAGGUUUUUGAGAAACAGAUACUCGUGAUCACCUUGCUAGAAUUUUAUGUACAUGGUCUAAGGAGCUCACACCACCACAGUAGUUAUGCAAUUAUCUCUAUUUUACAAAUACAGAGACAUAGUUUAGUGACUUCCCCACUGUGACAUAUCUAAGUGUGGCAAAGGAGAGAUAGCCCGGAACAGCUAACCUUUGGCAUGUACUAUACAGUUUUCCCUUUCCAUUAUAUCAGAACAGUAUAUAGACUUUCAGAUCUCCCAGGGUACACCCAUUCCAACAUAACGUAUGAAAAGGGAAGCUUACAGUUGGCAAUAUAAACCUUGAAUGCGCUGGUGAAAAAGAAAAUGGAUUCAUGAACAGACUCAGAGUUAUGCUUUCAAGUUCAAAUGCAAUUGAGUAAGAAACUAAACACAAGAUAAGAGUGGUCAGAUGACUCAAAGAGCAAGCUUUAUCAUCCCAGCACAGUUGAAGAGGACGCAGUACAACAUUGUAAGAAGAACCAUUAAAAUAUGACUAUUAUCGUGUCUUUAUCAUUCCCAUAGCAACCUAGUAUUCCCUGCCAAAAAAAUAACUCAGUAGGCACCAAGAAUUUUCAGCUACUCUUUUAGCACCAAACCCUUCCCACAGCCAUUUGUAUUAACAUUUGCAAAAGAUUUAUUUCCCUUUGAUUCAAAUAAUUCCACAUUCCCAAGAAUAUCUGGACUGGAGCAUGUCCAACUGCCCGCAGGGUCUGCAGCCGUCGCCUCUGUCCUGGGUAGCUCGCUCAGUGCCCAUGAAUAGCUCAUUGUUGAAGACAAACCCACUGCAGAGAACAGAGGAAACACAGAAGAAGAGUCAGUGCCAUGAUCUGGAGACCAGUCUGGACUUCCAGCAAUGAAGCUGGCAGCAGCAGCAAGCACCCCAGCCUGUUGUGAAUUGGGGUGACCAGUGCUUCCCAGAUCAAGGCUCCCUGAAGGUAUUCCCCACUUCAGAAUCCACCAGCAACUUACCUCCAGACAUACUGAACCUAGAUCCUUCUGUAUAACCAAAAAGAAAACAAUAUAGGCUGAAACUCAAACUGAAAAAUCAACCUCAAGCAUUUGUAUCAGGAUCAAACACGGGUGCUAUAGAAAAAUACAAGAUCGCUUUCAAGUAGUCUGCAUGGCUUAACAACUGGCCAAAAAUUUAAGAAGGGUUCUCACUUGAUGAAGACUGAACUCUCAAAUCUGCUCUGAUGUUUGCUACUGACUUUCUACAAAUAUUCUGUUUAUCCACUCAGGCUAAUCAGCACAUCAGAGAAUGAACUAAGUGCCCACUUCAAAUCAAGGGUUAAAAAGAAUUAUACCUUUUAGCUAUUUGAGGGUGGUCAAAGAAACUCAUAAGUUGUUUCGGUGAUUGAACCAAACUCAGUUGCAGAGUUAAUCAAAUGUGGCAUAAUGCAGUCUUUUGACAUAGGGAUCAUAUUUGCCAUCUCAGACAUGUACUGGUCUACAAUUAAUGCCUGAUGAGUAUAACUUAGUAGCCACAAGCUUGUAUUUUUGAGCAUAUGACUAAUUUUAAAAGUUAUACCUCCUGGUACUUAUCCAGUCCUUCUUCAACUUAUUUAGGAUUUUACAUUUUUACAUAAGUCAGAAAAACACCAUGAUUAUGGAUAAAUUUCCAGCCAUAUUCUUUUUCUUCCGGCAUUCACAAAUGCAUCAAAACGUAUUAGAGAAAAGUGAUAAAGGGAUCCAGUAUGGUCUGGGGAUUUGGCUUAGCAGUGUCAUGCUUACCUAGUACAUACACGGCCCUGAGUUUGAUCCCUGGCACUACAGGAACACAGAAACAGCAGUGUGAUUCAGUGGAGGUCACAACCUAUCUGCAAAUCCAAUGGCCACGUCUUUUCAAGUAAACACAUAUCUGACUUUACACUCUAGGGGAAGGAGGGGAUCACGCUAACUUGUUCUGACACACACUCCUCCUCCCCAACUGCUCUAUUUACCAUUCCUGAAACUAAAGCCAGAGGCCACACAGAAUCUGAACCUCUAACCUAUGGACAUAGCCUUGUCUUCACUGAGGCCAUUAGUGUAUUAAAAACACAAUGAAGAGCUGCUGGUUGGGCAAAGUCAUUUUUCCUUUGACAUUUAAUUAUCAGUAGAAAAGUAUUUCUGUCUUAAUACCCACAUUCUGGCAUAUAAUUACUGUAAUAAAGUCUACUUCUUCCCUUUGGGUGACCGCUGCCAGUACCAUGAAAUCAUGGCAAUGGUUGUAAAAAUAAGGGAGGUCACAGCCCUCCCCCACACACAUACACACCCACUCUGCAGCUGAUAUUAAAUAGCUUUGGUGGGAAAAGGCAGACCUUUAAACCCUCUACCAAACUCAAUGCAUUCUGCAUUUAACUUCUUCCUUAAAACAGUUAGUGACGGAAGAAUUCAAAAACUGCAUAUGGCCAUGAGGGAGAAAAGAAGGCGCUCAUACUUAAUUAGCUACUAAGCCCAACUUGGACGAGGCAUAACAACAACCAUUUCUUUGUGCUAACUAUCUUUAAUGAUAUGCAUUACAUGCAUUGGCCUGCCGGCUGCCCAGGCUGUUCCAGCUUCAGUUGUCUUCGCUUCUGGCAAAGGGCAACAAUGUGGAAAGUCUCCAUUUUGACAUUUUGCCACUUUGGCAGAGAGAACUCCUAACAGCACGAGUACCCUCUGAACCUCUUCACUGUGGUCUCAUGGCCACAAGAUAGAUGGUUGAAAUCCAAGCGUGUCACAUACUGGAUGGAUAGUCACCGCAUGCUUUGGACAGCACUCCAGGUUUCGAUUUGUCCUCUCCAGCAUAAGCCAGUCAGAUAUUUUAAUCCGAUCACUUUCAACUCUCUUCUUAUAUAAUUUCCCUGCUCCCAACCAAGACCUGAGUCAAGCCAAUUCAGAAUCAUAAAAAGGACAGACAGGCCUCUGAGGGAAUAGCUUGUCGAUUUUUUUUUUAAAUCCUCUACUUCAUUAUGUAAUGAAAAUAUCCUUAAGAAAGUAUCCGGCUUAAAACGUAAGCUUGAGUUGCUCUAUUAAAAUCGACCUCAGAAAAGAUGCUGCUUGAGAACCAGGAGGCCAAGGUCUCUUCUGCACUUUGGGAUGGGAAGUCACUGCAAUCCAUUGUUCUACAGUGCAGCAUAAAAGCACGUAGGCUCCAGAAAAUGAGAUACAUGUGAAUGAGAACAAAGCACUAGAGUGCACACAACAUAAAGAAGACUCAAAGAUACCACCUUGCUCCAAACAUUGCAACUCAGCUGCCAUGGCCCCUGGCCUCUCAUGUGGAGUUUUGUUUAUAGAAGAAGAUGGGCUUUCCACUGGGGAACCAGCAAGGAGUAAGCCUGGGUGGUUCUGUUCCUUAGGUGGUUCUGUUCCUAGCUUUCAAUCCCCCAGUAACUGCACACAUAUGCCCCAGCAUGUAUGGCUAUGAAUCUUUGGUGACAAUACUGGUCUAUAAUGGCUCCAAAUCAGAAGUGACCUAAAUGUCUGCUAAGGGCACAGUGGAUCAACACAUCGCAUUGUGGCAAAAAAAAAUCACACAACAGAGAACCACACAACAAGGAAAUUAUCAAUCCAGAAUUUUAGCGUGCCACAGCUUGCAAACACAAUGCUGAAUGGAAAAAAAAAUAAGUAAGACAUGAGAAAACACAGAAAAUGUUAUAGCAAAAGGGGAGUAAGCAGAAAUCACCUUCCUUGUUUAGAAAUGCCCAUAUUAGUAGUAAAAUCCCAUAAGAAAGUCAAGGAAACGAUUACGGCAGUCUGAAGCUAUUGGAGGGCAGAGGAUAAAGAAGUUAUAAUUUGGAUUCCAGCUUAUGAAAUAGGGGGAUCUUCCAGGGUCUUAGCAACCUUCUGUUCUCAUCUUUUAAUUUUUUUUCCUUGUAAAUAUUUGACCUUUCAUUUCACAGUUUCAAAACUAAGCAAUAACGACAAAGCCGAAAGUCACUCCCCAAAACCAAAAGUUUGAACAAAAGCACUGUUUCGAUCCAACUUUUUUAUGUUAAUUACAAGGCCCUGGAAGGCAGGGAGAUUAGGAAGGUUGCCCAUCUGUUCUGUGCCCAGAUGGCAUCUGUGGCUCCGGGGAGUGGCUGUCCUGUACUUAGGCACUGAAGCUUGGAGACACCACACCAAACAGAAGUUCUGUUGAUAUUGCCAUGCCCACAGAGUUCAGUCUGCUGGUACCCAACCAACAGGCCCCUGACCUUCGGAGCGUUACCAUCCCUCUCCUCAUGGUAAGAACUCUUCUACUUUGGAAGGAAUAGUAGAGUGGUCUUUCUUCCACGGUGACCUUUUUAGGAACUGUAGAUUCUGGAAUCGCCAAGGCCUGUCUUGUCCCAUCAGGUUUUUCUGUGCUGUGUGCAAACUGGCUCACCUGUCCCUGUGCCUCCAUCCUUUAGUAGAACCCAACUCUUCUCCAGGUUCUUUGAACUCUGUUCUGCAGUUGGGGUCUUGACCCAGGUUCACAAGACAGACCUCAGGCAACACCUACAUCUACAUGUGAAUGCACAUUGCCAGUGGUACCCUUUCCGAUGCAUUCCACCUGACUUGCCAACACCGUGUAGACAGGAUAUACUAUUUCCCUUCCACCCUAAAGCCUAUCAUAUUCUGUACUAGUCACUAAGCUUUGAGCACAAUUUUAAAUCAACUUUCCCAUGAAGAGAACAAAGCAUGAGGGUCAGUUAUAGACUUGCCCUUACGACACUGGAGAAGUCUCUUUGUGAACUCCCUCCCUUGGGAGGGAUAUCUAACUUAUGUCAUUACUGUAAUCAAGUAUCUAAAACAUUUUAUCUUCUUUAGAAAAAAAAAAUCAGUUGCCGAGAAACACAGAGCCAGACAUUGUUCAGCAAAUAAAAUUAUAUUAAGAAAUGUCACAUACGCAGAAGGUCCUAAAUUUGAUCUCCAGCAUUGCAAAAGUAGAUGAGCAAACAAUUCUCAUAUCGUCGUUGGGAAAGACAUCACGUGGGGAUGAGAACGAGAACUCACCCAGGAGUGCUUUACCAGGUUCUCCAAGUAAGGGGCCUUCUUGGAUUUUGAAAACAUUAAAGGAACUGAAUAAAAACAAGGAACCCAUGACUGAACAGAUAAAGCCUAGAAAAAAAAUCAAUGAAAGAGUAACAGCAAGAGCCUAAAGGACCUGGCAAGUGUGAAUUGCUUGUUAUAGGCAGUUACCCAGCAACA